rnacentral:lncRNA from 7 species
GAUGACGGCGGCAUUACCUCAGUGGCGCUCCCCGGGCGGCCGUGCGCGGCGCUGUGGGGUCCGCACCUGUCCCGUCUUUUCUGACUUCUUUUUUUUUUUUUGGAUUCCUUCCUAAGCAGAUCCCACGCUGAUGAUAUUGAUGUACGUGGGGGAGGGAAUGGAGGAAUGACUGCCCUAAGCAAAAGGAAGCACGGAGAGCUAGAGCUUGGCCUUUGCCAUUAUCCUGCAAUAAAACACACUGCAGAAGCCCGGUAUAAAGUUCCAGGUCACAGAGCCAGCUCUCACAGAUGUUACACAGGUCUGACAAACUAGGACUGGUGCCUCUGGCCUGUUCAUAGCAAGACAACAGUGUUUUCAAUGGGCAUAGGCAGUGUGAGCUAUCAGGUGAAGUUCCAUACCAGUGCAUCCCUCCUGCAUGUAAGCUCUGCUGACCAUUGCUUUCAGUCUGGUGUUUCACAAGCAGAAUGAUGUAGAAAGGUUCAAAACUUGUGAGCGCUCUGAUGGAGGGCAAUCUUAGGAGUGAAAUUAUAUGUUAUAAUGCUUGAUUGAAGUAUAUCAGCUUUGAUAAACGUUUCGAGCACUGAUAGACCUGAUAAUCAAAUGCUUGCAAUGCUCCUGGUGAUGGUAUGUAUGUGAACUGCCACAUCACGUCAGGUGCCAGGGAUCAAAAGUCACAGACUUUGAAAUGCCACAAUUACUCGUGAUGAUGACUUAUUUUCAUCUUGCAGUCCUUGUAUAGCAAACAUAAGCCCUGUUGUUUCUCUUGCUGUAACAAUAAACAAACUGCUC